UACAGAGGUCUCAAGCGUUGUUCGGAUUCAUUGGGCGUAAAGGGUGCGUAGGUGGUUAGGUAAGUCGGAUGUGAAAUCCCGGGGCUCAACCUCGGAACUGCAUUCGAUACUGCUUGACUAGAGUACUGGAGAGGAGAUUGGAAUUUACGGUGUAGCAGUGAAAUGCGUAGAUAUCGUAAGGAAGACCAGCGGCGAAGGCGGAUCUCUGGACAGUUACUGACACUGAGGCACGAAGGCCAGGGGAGCAAACGGG
rnacentral:rRNA from 1 species